rnacentral:lncRNA from 1 species
AAAUUACAUCCAAAAGAUGUAAGGACUGAGAUUUUUGACAGUGUAACUAAACUCUCUGUUAACGAUGUUUAUGUGUGCAAUUUAAUUACAUAAGCACUCGUCAAGUUUCAGGAGAAAAUGAGCUAAAACGGAGAAGUUAUGCGAUUAUUAGUUUUCACUUAAAGUGAAUAGUAACUCCGGUUUUUCGGAGAAACCGCGGAGUAGAGUUGGCUUUCGGCGCGUAUCGGACUCCGAACAUAGGACUCCAAUAGCUCGUUUCGAACGGUUCAUCUAUUCUGGAACCAAUGGCACUGACGAAUUUCGGAUCCGAUGCACGGUUUUCGAGAAAAAGGAGUUUUAACAAAAGGAGGAUUUUCGCUCUUUGCUAUUCGUGCAUUUAAAACUCCUCGUGCUCUGGCUUGUGACCUGGGGUUAGGUGUGAGUUGUUUCUGGUACCUACUAGUGGUAGGGAAUUCAAAUUUGAAUUUGGAUUAAAGGUUUAGGGUUUAUACUUCAGUAUAUGCGCGAUAUUCGGAUUAAUUGGAGAGCGGGUGAGUUUCGUCGCGAAUCCGUGACCAAAUCUGACGAAACAAGAUGGUAGUUUGGAUGCCCUCGUUGUGCUGAAUGCGAUGGUGCGAUCCGUUCGGAAAUCCGAUGAACGGAUUGCCGGAUAUUGCAUGUUGUUCGCUAAGGGGUCGAGAGUGGAAAUCGGGAAAUUCGCAAAAGUCGUUAUAUUUUAUGUGCCGAAUUGCGUGAGGUCAGACAUGGAGGUGCGUAUGUGUAAAAUACGCAUGAUGUGAGGGACUUGACUGA